rnacentral:lncRNA from 1 species
UGGCGGCAGAAAGGCAGAUUUCAAGUGAUACGCGCGAGCCGUCCCCACAGUACGCGGAGUCGUCCCCGCAAGUUAAAAAGCUGAGUUUCCGAGUCGUCCCCAGUGUAGCGGAGUCGGCUCUCUCAGGGUUUUCCAGAGAAUGUCUUUUUCGGUGACAAAGCAGCGGAGACGUCCCCUGAAAGAGCGGAGUCGACUCUCUCAGAGAAUUCCAGAAGACAUGUUUUUCGGAG